GUUAAGAACCCACCGCCUAAUGUAUCAAUAUUACCGAAAAAAUAAACUCCAGAGGCUACAUACCUUUCGCGUAGAGUGAUAGCUGGUUUUCCUUUAAACCAGUUUAAGCUGACCAAACUAAAAAUUUAAAAAUAAUCUUAAAUUUAGUUAUGUAAAUAAAUCGAGGAAAAGCCCGAUUUAAGCCCUUAUUUAUCUCAUAAACAAUAAAAAUAGUAGGCUUAGAACCAGCCAUCUAAUAUUUCGUUAUAGUAAAAACAAAAGCAAAAUAAAAAAAAAAUAAAAAAAAAAGGAAUAAAAGUUAAAACUAACAACUUAAAAACUAUGCAAAGAUGAGUAUUCUUACUAAAUAUUAAACACUCAUAUAUAGGGAAGGAACUCGGCAAAUAGAAGCUCCGACUGUUUAACAAAAACAUAGCCUGUUGAAAAAAAGAUAAUAGGUAAACCCUGCCCAGUGAUUUAUUAAACGGCCGCGGUAGCCUGACCGUGCAAAGGUAGCAUAAUCAUUUGCCUCCUAAUUAGAGGCUAGUAUGAACGGACAAACGAGAGCGACCCUGUCUCCCCCAUAACCAUAAAAAUUUACCUUCAGGUGAAGAGGCCUGAAUUAAUAUAAAAGACAAGAAGACCCUGACGAGCUUUAAUCAAGAUAAAUUAAUAAUUUACUAAAAAUAUUAAAAUUUAAAUAUGAUUUUUGUUGGGGCGACAAAGGAAUAAACAAAUCUUCCUAUAAAAAAAAGAACAUAAUUCACCCAAAUGAUCCACUAUGUGACCACUAGACAUAGCUACCGCAGGGAUAACAGACUAAUCUUCCUCAAGAGCCCAAAUCUACAGGAAGGCUUGGCACCUCGAUGUUGGCUUAAGAUCUCUUUUAGAUGCAGCAGUCUAAAAAGAUGGUUUG
rnacentral:rRNA from 1 species